UACAUAGGGUGCGAGCGUUAAUCGGAAUUACUGGGCGUAAAGGGUGCGUAGGUGGUUGUUUAAGUCUGUCGUGAAAUCCCCGGGCUCAACCUGGGAAUGGCGAUGGAUACUGGGCAGCUAGAGUGUGUCAGAGGAUGGUGGAAUUCCCGGUGUAGCGGUGAAAUGCGUAGAGAUCGGGAGGAACAUCAGUGGCGAAGGCGGCCAUCUGGGACAACACUGACGCUGAAGCACGAAAGCGUGGGGAGCAAACAGG
rnacentral:rRNA from 1 species